rnacentral:lncRNA from 1 species
UUGGAUUCAAUUUUGGAUUCUAAAAUUUAUUGAUUAAAUGCCUGUGGAAAUUCUUGAACAUUAAUUCAUUGGAAAAAGAGAAGAUUACAAAAAAUUAAAUCUUGGAGAAUUUUUCUAAAUAUAGUGGAAUUAAAGUUUUCUAAAUUGAAUUAGGAUUUCAAUCCCUGUAUAAAAACCUUGAAUAUGUGAUAAAAAGGGGGGCCUCACAAAGAAUUCAUAAUAAAUAUAGAGGCAGUUUCGAGCAAAAUUUCAAAAUAGAGUAGCAAUCGAAGAAACAGUCUUCAGCGAUUCAUACAAGCAAUUCAUAAUCAAAAGGGGCCCAAACAGCAGCAAUUCAUUAUCAGAGUACAUCAAAAUAAAAAGCUGGCUGAAACACAAGUUAGAAGGAAGCAAUCGGAGAUAAUUUCUAUGUACAGAGAAGCCAAUACAACAAUUCCCAGUAGCAAGUCCACAGUGAAUACACAACGAUCUUAGACCCAAUUGGCAGCAAGAUUUUAACGUUUCAGGAACCAGCAACGUCUGAACAACAAUUCAACAAGGCAAUUACAAGCUAAGAUCAAUUGAAAGAGAAGACAAAACAAGCUCAAUAGCAGAGUUCGAGUCAAGGCAUAAGCAAUAACAGGAAGCAAUCAUACACUACCAGAGACAGAAGACGCAUACACAAAACUAGGCACACAUUCAAUAGCAAUCAAGCAACAUUCAAAGUUGUUUCCCAAUCCACACAGAAGCAAAAACAGAGUUUCAACAAGCUUCAAUUAGCCACCCAAGCCGAAAGCCAGUAAACCCAAAUCACUCAUACCCAGAAAGCAUCCUCAAUUCCCAGUAAACCCGAAAUCAAUUUCCAGAAAUAGUAGCCCAAACAUACAAAAAAUUCCACCAAAAAUUGAACCUAGUUAGAAAAUCAAGCAACCACAGCAAAUGGCGGCACGAUUCACCGGUGUUCUGGUAUUUUCAAGAAAAGGCCGAUAGUGGGUGAUAGGUGGAAGCGGUGGCGACGAUCUUUGAACGGUUUCUGGGCUGUUGAUUGAAACCUAAGAAGAAGAGAAAGUUGAGGGGAUACGUAAAAGCGAAGGAAUCAAAGCAAGCUUUUGGAUUUUUGAGGAAGACCGGUGGUGACGAAAGGCGACAAGCGAGCUUGGUGGCUAGUGCUAGGCAAAGGCUGCGGCGGUUUCAAUCAAGAUCUGGGCUAGGUUGUUCUUCUGGUUAGUAGAGAAAGGAGAAAUAAAGCUUGAUAUUUAUUCUUGGGUUUGAGCGAGAAGAAGGUUCUAGGAAGCUCUUGAUGGUUUCAACUCAUUUGUAUGAUGUUUUGGACAGUGGUGGUCUCGGAUUUCUUGCUUAGAUCUAGGACUUUCUAAAGGGAUUCUAAAAAAUUCGGGCUAGUCACACAAAAGAGAAGAAAGAGGUGAAGAGGGAGGCGACAAGAUCGAUCAGUCGAUAGCAUAGUGAACGAAAAACGACACUGAAUUCUAGUGGCAAUAGUCGUUGGUUAUUGGGCUUUUCAUUUUCUGGGUUGAAUAAGCAAGGGAAAAGGGAUAGACUGCAGAGAAAGAAGAUGAAUAUUGGAAACAAGAAGAAGUGGCUAACUUUGGAUUUUUUUUUUCUAUAAAAACAGUACUGUUUGGAGGGAAAAUUAUUGCUGUGACGAACGACCUUGGAC